rnacentral:lncRNA from 1 species
GUCAAUGCAUUUUGAAGCAGAUGGGGCAGUAAUUCAUGAAAAAUAGUGUUUAGAAAAGGUAUGCAGGUUUAAUGAAGAAAAUUGCCCUGGCUACAAUGGGGAUUACCUUGAUUUUCGCCCUGUUACAUCAACAGUUAUCUUGGCAUAGCUCAGUGUGGCCAGUGGAUCUUGGAUACUCCCGAAAUCAUAACAUGUACGCGCUGUGUGGUGAGAGGAAGCAGAGGGAUAGCAAGAGCUGGACUCGCAGCAGAAAAGGUGGUGUAUCUUCCAUACUCUGUGUGUUAUUUAUAGUCAAGUCUGAGUUGAUUUUGUUGAUUUUUAGGGUACUUGCAUCACUCGUCUGUGAAGCAUUAAGCAUUUACAAAAUGCACAGUAAAACCCAAGCAACUCAUCUUAAAUAG